rnacentral:rRNA from 1 species
GAUGAACGCUGGCGGCGCGCCUAACACAUGCAAGUCGAACGAUUAAAGCACCUUCGGGUGUGUUUAAAGUGGCGAACGGGUGAGUAACACGUGGGCAACCUGCCCCCUUCAUUUGGAUAGCCACGGGCAAACGUGGAUAAUACCGAAUACUUCGAGUCUUCCGCAUGGAAGACUCGAGAAAGCUCGGGCGGAGAGGGAUGGGCCCGCGGCCUGUUAGCUUGUUGGUGGGGUAACGGCCUACCAAGGCAAUGAUGGGUAGCUGGGAUGAGAGACUGACCAGCCAGAUUGGGACUGAGACACGGCCCAGACUCCUACGGGAGGCAGCAGUGGGGAAUCUUGCACAAUGGGCGAAAGCCUGAUGCAGCGACGCCGCGUGCGGGAUGAAGGCCUUCGGGUUGUAAACCGCUUUCGGCUGGGACGAGGCGAAAGUGACGGUACCGGCAGAAGAAGCACCGGCUAACUACGUG